AGUGAACGCUGGCGGUAGGCCUAACGCAUGCAAGUCGAACGGCAGCACAGUAAGAGCUUGCUCUUACGGGUGGCGAGUGGCGGACGGGUGAGGAAUACAUCGGAAUCUACUUUUUCGUGGGGGAUAACGUAGGGAAACUUACGCUAAUACCGCAUACGACCUACGGGUGAAAGCAGGGGAUCUUCGGACCUUGCGCGAUUGAAUGAGCCGAUGUCGGAUUAGCUAGUUGGCGGGGUAAAGGCCCACCAAGGCGACGAUCCGUAGCUGGUCUGAGAGGAUGAUCGGCCACACUGGAACUGAGACACGGUCCAGACUCCUACGGGAGGCAGCAGUGGGGAAUAUUGGACAAUGGGCGCAAGCCUGAUCCAGCCAUACCGCGUGGGUGAAGAAGGCCUUCGGGUUGUAAAGCCCUUUUGUUGGGAAAGAAAAGCAGCAGGUUAAUACCCCGCUGUUCUGACGGUACCCAAAGAAUAAGCACCGGCUAACUUCGUG
rnacentral:rRNA from 1 species